AAGGGUCUCUUAGUGCGUAAGUUACAUCUCCAAUGCAACCAUGUGUGGUAUUGAAAGGUGGCAGCCUUCAAGUUCUGAAUGUUGCGGCUGUCUUCGAAUUUGAGAUGGUGCGUGGUGUAGAUGGAUGCAGCCCAUGAAGAAACCUGUGCAUAGAGUCCUUUGGUGCUCACAACUUCUUAAAAAAAAUUCUGGGGGUUCCUCUAGAAAGUGGACUAUGCAUGUACGUGUGUUCUCUGAAAAUCAAAACUGUGCGUGGGCUUCUUCAUGCGGCUGUGAAGACUUCCCGAGGUGGCGUGUUUCUGUUAGUGCGUGGUCCCCAUGGGAGUGCAGGCUGCCCCUCAAUCCGUGCUCUUGGAUUUCAAGUGUCCAUCCAAAGUGGCAACAUGAGAUGUUUGUUUCUCUCAAAGUGGGUUCAAAUUUUUGUUUCUCUAUAUUGAUGAUGCGACUGUUUCUCAGAAAAUCCUCACUUGGUACCCUCUCCUCCAUAUUCAGGUACGGAGCAAUGAACCCUCAAAGACUCCUUGGGAUCAAAUUUAAGAGACUGAACGUGAAUACCAGAAAUUCUGAUAAGCUAUGACAUUGUGUUUAAGUCUUUUGGAAAGUGACUUUAGAAAAGACUUCAAGGCAGAAUUCUGAACUGCAAUGUAAUGUGCAUGACAACCUUGGAAGUCUCAUCAGAAAAAGUUCAAAUUUCUUCCAUUGGAGGCCUCAAAUUCAACAACUUCUUGAUUCGUCAAAGAGGGUACCCUCAUCACUAGAGUUUUCCAUUACACUUCGAGAAUUUUCUGGUCUGUAUUAACUUUGAAAUUUUUCUGGCCCAUGUUCAGUUGAAUGAAUAUAUCCCCAAGGAGGUAUUCCAUGACUGCCCACAAUGAGAAACACCAAAGAGUAUAUGUGCAUUAAUCCAUAUGAAAUGUACAAAUGACCCAAAUGUUGUUUCAGAAGAGGAGGCAUCAACACUUAAUUCUUUCUCUUCCAGUUCUUCCUAAGUCUAUGUAGACUUCCUCAGAUACUAUAUUUAAUUCACAAACCUCAGACAUCAAUUGAUACUGAUCCAGAAUUCCAUGACACCCUUUCAGUACCUUUUGAAAUGCCCCUUCACCUGUUAGAUUCAAAUAGCUCAUUCGACAAACUUGGCUGCCACACAAACAAACAGAUACCUCAUACUCUUUCUUACUCUCUGUGACUGAGUUAUAAUCAAAGAUGAUCUCCUCACCACAUUGAAUUUGACGUACGGUGUAGAUUCCAAUCUGGUACUG
rnacentral:lncRNA from 1 species